GGCCACGAAGUGAGCCGAAGUGCAAAUUCGGCGCAGCACCCCAAAGAGUGCCGGGGCUU
rnacentral:tRNA from 1 species